rnacentral:rRNA from 1 species
UUAGGAAUAUUCGUCAAUGGAGGAAACUCUGAACGAGCAAUGCCGCGUGAAGGAUGACGGUCCUAUGGAUUGUAAACUUCUGUUGUUAGGGAAGAACGACUUAAGUAGGAAAUGACUUAAGAGUGACGGUACCUUUCAAGAAAGCUCCGGCUAACUACGUGCCAGCAGCCGCGGUAAUACGUAGGGAGCAAGCGUUAUCCGGAUUUAUUGGGUGUAAAGGGUACGUAGGCGGCCUCAUAAGUCUGUGGUUUAAGCCCGAAGCUUAACUUCGGUUCGCCACAGAAACUGUUUGGCUUGAGUAUGGUAGAGGCAAGUGGAAUUUCUAGUGUAGCGGUUAAAUGCGUAGAUAUUAGAAGGAACACCAGUGGCGAAGGCGACUUGCUGGGCCAUUACUGACGCUGAGGUACGAAAGCGUGGGGAGCAAAUA